rnacentral:rRNA from 1 species
GUGGGGAAUUUUGGACAAUGGGCGCAAGCCUGAUCCAGCAAUGCCGCGUGCAGGAAGAAGGCCUUCGGGUUGUAAACUGCUUUUGUACGGAACGAAACGGUCCGGGUUAAUACCCUGGGCUAAUAACGGUACCGUAAGAAUAAGCACCGGCUAACUACGUGCCAGCAGCCGCGGUAAUACGUAGGGUGCAAGCGUUAAUCGGAAUUACUGGGCGUAAAGCGUGCGCAGGCGGUUUUGUAAGACAGGCGUGAAAUCCCCGGGCUCAACCUGGGAAUUGCGCUUGUGACUGCAAGGCUGGAGUGCGGCAGAGGGGGAUGGAAUUCCGCGUGUAGCAGUGAAAUGCGUAGAUAUGCGGAGGAACACCGAUGGCGAAGGCAAUCCCCUGGGCCUGCACUGACGCUCAUGCACGAAAGCGUGGGGAGCAAACAGGAUUAGAUACCCCAGUAGUCC